GCUGCCAGACCUUUCCUGCAGCAGCAGAAAGAUGGUGUUUGUGGUGCUCUGGCGUGAUGCUUGGAGGAGCCAGGGAAGGUCAAAUCCAGCUCAGCUCCUGAGCGGGUCGCUGGGGAGCGAGUGAUGGGGAGGCAAAUGCAGAAAAAGGAGAUAAAACUGGGACAAACGCGACCUCCCCUCCUGUGGGCCUGGCAGAAAAGGGUUAAGAGAAGCGGUUGAAUGCUGCAAGCCUCGUCAGGGUUGUACUAUUUUUUCUAGUGCAUAAGGAGAAGGGAGAGGAGGGUUGCACGGAAAAGGGAAAUUUCCGAGAAAAGAGGGAUCUGCGGCAAUAUCUGCACCUCGGGGGAUGAAGAGAGGAACCAACAGGCAUAAAUGGCCUGGGGACGGCUGAAAUCUCUGCCGAGGAGAUUGGCACCGCGGGGUUAUUUUCCACUUGCCUCCCCUACCCAUUUCUGUAAUCCUGGCUCAAAGUAGACAAGUCGAGUUGGAGCUGAAGAAGGGAGGCGAUGCCACACCUCCCGAGGACACUGGGGACAUCGGGUUUUGCUGAGCUUAGCAGCUUUUCACCGUCGUACCGAAGGCAUCAGACAGACGCUCAUCUGCCCUGAAGUGCAGAUCUGCAACAGCUCCCGGGAAGACUCUGUCUCUCUGUCUCUCUGUCUCUCUUUUCUCUCUCUCUCCAGUCCAAACCAUUACAAGACCUGACUUCCACCAUCUGGGAAUUUAACCCCUCUUAUGUCCCUUCUCCUUUUUCUACGAUGACUCACCAUUAUUUUUAACUUUGAAGAGAGAGGAAAUUAUGGGGAUCUUGGAAGCCUGUAUUUCUCUCUAGGAUUUCCCCAGGGGUCAGAUAAUCGGUGUUACUAAGAGACACUAAGAUUUGGCUUCUCCAGGUAAUGUGAUUUGUUUUCUGUGUGCCAUGGUGGUUUGCAGAGGAUGACAGGAGCCGGGACACCAGCGGCCGAGGAGGGGGACUGCGGUGGUCCAUGGGGGAAUCGCCGGCUCCGCAUUCCAGAGCUUGGCUGCAGGCAGGGAGGGCAGCAUGUCGCCGAGCCGCCGCUUCGUGGCUAGGGCAAGAGGAUUGGGAAGGUGUUAAAAGCCGAGUUGGAGUUUUUCUGGAGGGUUGAUUGCCUGAGAUCCGCACGGUUAAAUGUUGAUUAACCCUUCGCUGCAUGCCUGGGAAUGACCUGAGCCCCGGCACCCCGUGGGGUCCCCUUGCCACUUUAGGGCUGGAUGGGGUUAUUUUUCUUCCUUCCUUUCUCUUCCCUUUCCCCUCCUUGCCUUUUUAUUUUUAAAUUGAAAUUUUGAUUUUUAGCCAAAAAAUAAGCCCUGCUUUGCCAAUGCCAGUUUUUCCGUGCUGGUUUUGAACAGGUGAUGGUUCCUCAGGUGUUUUACUCUGUUCCACCUAAUGGGUUUAGACGGGAGUUGUUGAACUCUGUCCCACAGAAGGCAAAUUAACCCCCCCCCCAAGGAAGGGCAUAGACAUGCUAGUGAAGGGAUCUGCUCUCCUCCCCCCAACUUUAUUCCAUCUCUCUCUUUCUCAGCAGGGGUGAUUUUCUUUCUCCUUUUUUUUUUUUUUUUUCCUGUAUCUCAUCCCUUCGCCUUUUCAUGAGACUCUUCCAACCCUACAUACCUGUCCUUCUGCAGGAUAGUAGCCCUGCCCUGAACCUGAUCCCACCACCGGGCCCUGGGAAGAGCUUAGCAUAAGGAUUUCUUUGAAAACCCCCAAUAUGACAGUUGCCACUGGAGAUCCUGCAGAUGAAGCUGCAGCUCUUCCCGGUCACCCGCAGGACACGUAUAACCCCGAGACCGACCAUGAGUGCUGCGAGAGGGUGGUCAUCAACAUCUCGGGGCUGCGCUUCGAGACGCAGCUCAAGACGCUCGCCCAGUUCCCAGAGACCUUAUUAGGGGAUCCUAAAAAGAGGAUGAGAUAUUUCGACCCUCUCCGGAACGAGUAUUUCUUUGACCGGAACAGGCCCAGCUUCGAUGCGAUUUUGUACUAUUACCAGUCCGGUGGGAGGUUGAGGAGGCCGGUUAACGUGCCCUUAGACAUCUUCUCAGAAGAGAUUCGAUUCUACGAACUGGGGGAAGAGGCAAUGGAGAUGUUCCGAGAGGAUGAGGGCUACAUCAAAGAAGAGGAGAGGCCGUUGCCCGAGAACGAGUUCCAGAGACAAGUGUGGUUGCUCUUCGAGUACCCCGAGAGCUCGGGCCCUGCCAGGAUUAUAGCUAUUGUCUCCGUCAUGGUGAUUUUAAUCUCCAUCGUCAGCUUUUGCCUGGAAACCUUGCCCAUUUUUCGGGAUGAGAACGAAGACAUGCACGGCAGCGGGCUGAGCCACCUCCCCUAUUCCAACAGCAGCAUGGGCUACCAGCAGUCCACCUCCUUCACAGACCCCUUCUUCAUCGUGGAGACACUUUGCAUCAUCUGGUUCUCCUUCGAGUUCCUGGUGAGGUUUUUCGCCUGCCCCAGCAAGGCUGGGUUUUUUACCAACAUCAUGAACAUUAUAGACAUCGUAGCCAUCAUUCCCUAUUUCAUCACCCUGGGGACGGAGCUGGCCGAGAAGCCGGAGGACGGCCAGCAGGGCCAGCAAGCCAUGUCCCUGGCCAUCCUCCGAGUCAUCCGCUUGGUGCGGGUCUUCAGGAUCUUCAAGCUCUCCCGGCACUCCAAGGGGCUGCAGAUCCUUGGGCAGACUCUCAAGGCCAGCAUGCGGGAGCUGGGCCUCUUGAUAUUCUUCCUCUUCAUCGGCGUCAUCCUCUUCUCCAGCGCCGUGUAUUUUGCCGAGGCCGAUGAGAGCGAGUCCCAGUUCCCGAGCAUCCCCGACGCCUUCUGGUGGGCCGUGGUUUCCAUGACGACUGUUGGCUACGGAGACAUGGUCCCCACCACCAUCGGGGGGAAAAUAGUGGGUUCCUUGUGUGCCAUAGCUGGCGUAUUAACGAUUGCCUUACCAGUGCCCGUCAUAGUGUCCAACUUCAACUACUUCUACCACCGGGAGACGGAGGGAGAGGAGCAGGCUCAAUAUCUGCAAGUAACCAGCUGCCCAAAGAUCCCCUCUUCCCCUGACCUAAAGAAAAGCAGAAGUGCCUCUACGAUUAGUAAGUCUGAUUACAUGGAGAUUCAGGAAGGCGUAAACAAUAGCAAUGAGGAUUUCAGGGAGGAGAACUUGAAGACAGCCAAUUGCACCCUUGCUAACACAAACUAUGUGAAUAUCACCAAAAUGCUAACCGAUGUCUAAUCGCUAAAAAAAAAAAAAAAAAAUCUAGUGGUGUAUUUAAAAGCUGAAGUGGAACAAUUGCAGAUAUUGAGUGCUGCUCUGCAUUGUAGUUAACACAGUUAUUUUCUACGGUGUAUAUUUGGUUCUGCAUGGGAAGCAAUAGCUGUGUAAGUGACUUUUAACCUUCGAUUUCCACACUGAAUAAGCAUCCGUGCAAAACAAACAAACAAAACAGACAGACAAACAAACACCCCCCAACAAACCCAAACCAUUUCGUUGUCCUUCUCCCAUCCCAGGCUCGUGGGUUUCCCGAGGGGUACGGAAGGGAUUUGGAGCAGCAGGAUGGGGGGUACGAGGGGCAGCUCCAGGUUGUGCCAGCUCCCUGUCCUGGGUGACAACCCACCUUCCAGGGAAGGGCUGGGAAAGGUCAGGCAGAACUUAACGAAGGGGGCGAUGUGGGCGAAGUGUCAGAAUUGCUGGAAGGCUCCGGUUUCCACCCUGGGAAUGCCAAGCCCGGCCGCGUCGCCCGGGCUCGUGUUUCAUAACUGAAAAUGCUGCAUGCUGCAAUAGUUUCAGCCACUGCAGUGUGCCAGUGUGAGGCCCAGGGGAGGGAUAAUUAGUGUGACAGCACAUUAUUUAUUAAGUCUUAAAUUUUCUAUUGCCAGGCAUCGGGAGGGCUGGGUAAAUAAAUCAAGCGCUUGGAUUUUAGGAUUUCUUUAGAUAACACUUCCAUCCCCGGUGUUUCCAGGCUCACCAAAGACAUCUCCACUAAUCUGUUGAAAAUGAGUUGGAAAAAGCAUCUUUUUUUACAUCUAUAUAUAAAACUGGAGCAACUAUGCUGUGGCCUACAAUAUAUUUAUACUGCAGUGAAAUUUAACCAGUAAUACAGUACAGCUGCAUGGAUAUCUGUUGCAUGAAUCUGAAUAUUUAAUACACACACAAAUAUAUAUUUUCUUAGUAGACUAUACGAUAUUCAUGUUUAUAGUGUUUAUAGAUUCUCCGGUGGCUCGAAGGAGAUUCAUGGGAGUUGAAAAAAAAUCUCAACUGCAGUUAAAAACAGGACGGGGAAGGCGCGUGCUGACAACAGUUGGAUAAGAUAACGAGGCAAAGCCCGAGUGUCCGAGCAUUCAGACACGAGAGCCAGCUAGAGCGAGGGAAGGUGAGCUGAAAGUUAAACACCUGCACUCGUUAUGGGGCGAGUAAUUAGUCAUUAAUCUUGGUGUCGGGAGCGGAAAGCGCAGGGCGGAUCAGAGAGGGCACAGGGAGCAGGUGGAAUUGCAGGUUCUGGCUCUCCCGGAUUGUUUGGUCAGCAGUUUUCAGCCGUUCCCGUCUAAUCCUUGGGGUGUGUGUGUGUAUGUAGAUAUUUAGAGAGCGACUACAGGGCCGGAUCCUCAGCAAACAGAGCUCUUGGGGCAUUGGGGAUUUCCUGAUUUAGGGGUGCUGGGAUGGUGGGACAGGGGCUGGAGCAGGAUGACCUACCCCGUGGAGCCCAUGGGAUCACUGGGGAAGGGCGUGUUUUGGGCUGGAAAACUCCUUUUCAACCACACAGAGCCCCAGGGCUGGGGGUUUAUUUCUUUGUGAUGGAAAAGGCACGUGCUGAGGGUGGGCUGGAUCUGAGCUGCUGCCUCUCAGCCCUUGCUUUGCCUCCUUCCAGGGUCUUUAGAGUGGUGAGUUGGGGUGCAGAGAGCCUGAGGAUGUCCCUGCUUCUUCAUCCCUGCUGGUGUUUGGGGAUGGGAGCUGUUGGUUCAGGGGGAAUCUCGUCUGCUUUCCCCAUUCCCAUCUGGAUUUCCUUGUUUCUCCCCCAUUGCUGAGAAUCCCCAGGGAAAUCCUCUGAUGUUCCUCUGAUGAGUCAGGAGAGAGGGAUUGAAAUCUCUGCCAAGGUUGUGGUCCAUCAAAGCCUCCCUGGGCUGCAGAACAAGGUUCAGCUGGGGUGAAUUUGGGCUGAAUUGGGGCACAGUCAGUGCUGUACUCGCUUGAUGUGUGGGCACCAGGAGAGAACCCUCCAGCAGAGAAUGUGGGGGAGGUCAGAGACCCUUCCUGAGCUCAGAGAGGAAAACCCAACUAAAUAACAAUAAACCAACCGGUGCUAACAUGUCCUAACACCAAUGGUUCCAAAUGAUGCUCUGGGGCCGGAUCCACCUCGGGCUGAUGUGGCUUCACUCAGCCAGGUGGAAACACUCCUCAGUUUUGUUGGAUUGGUUGAUUGAUUGAUUGAUUGGUUGAUUCUGGCCUGGCUAUAAUCAACAUCAUGGUUUGUGCAUGGGAGUCCUGCCUUCUGCUUGGGGCCAAGGACCAGCAGCAUCCAGGACCAACAGCAGCCUGUCUUUAAUCCCAUUACAUUGGGAACCUUCUGCUCCCGCUUUCCUGCAGCAGCUCAGGAAUGGGAGCUUCUGCAGCCCGCUCAAAAAAACCAACACAACCCAAAGCAAUAAAUUUUGACUCCUGAAGCUCAUCCUGUCGGAUGGGGCAGGGCUGGCAGGAGCUGCCAGCUUGGCCACGAUUCCCAGGGCAGUCGGCCAACUUCCAUUGAUCCGGCUGGCCGUGGGUUCGUGGAGGCAGGAGCGUGGAGACGAGCACAGGGGAAGCUGCUGGAUGUACUGGGAAUGCUGCUCGCCCACCUCUGGGUGCCUCCACACCAGGUGAUCCCAUUCCUGGUCAAGAUUGAGGGAAAGUUGCCGCAGGUUGUUUUUUUUUUGGUGGUGGGGUUGGAUUCUGUCGGUCGGUGAGACUUUGUGACGUGCCUGGCUGUGAGCUUGGGAUGGGUUGGGAUGGUUGGCCAAAGCCUGGAGUGCUGCUGUGGUUUGGUGAGGAAGAAGGUUGUGUUUCCCUUUGGGGAGGUGGUGUUUUGGGAAUAGAGUUCUUGCAGGAUUUCCAAGGCCAGGCAGGAGGGGGAGAGCGGAUCCACGAGCAGGAUCAGCCACAUCCAAACCUUCUCACCAAGCCUGUGGAAGCCCCAAGGGGCAUUGCAGGGAUAAAUGGGGCCAAAGAGCGAGAGUCCACUCUCCUUUUCUCACCAAUGUGAACUGACAUCUGUCCCCAUGGCCAGUCCCUUCCUUGGGACAGAUCCUGCACCCCUGGCACUGGGGAAAACCAGCCUUGGUGGGGGAUUGGACCUGCUCUGCUCUCGUUUGGGAAACAGGGCAAACAGCCAGAUCAGUGCUCAGACAUUUGUCCAGGGUGGGAAAGGUCGGGGCCGUGGCUGGAAGGGAUCUGUCCGUCUGCACGAAGCAGAGGGGUGCAGAUUUCUCCCUUGCACGGAGAAAUGGUUCUCCUACAGCUUUUAAUGGGAUUUGUGCCUGCGGUCGGAGCUCCAGUGCUAUUUCUAGCUUUACUUCUGACUCACUGAUGUGAUCUUGAACCAGUUUUUCAGGAGGAGAAUGUGAUUUUUUUUUUUGCCUUUUCUUGUUUGGUUUUUUUUUUCCUCAAGGAAUUUGUUUUCAGAGGCUCUGGGCCUGUUUCUGUGGAGAUGCUGAGCAUCCCAACCUCCUCUUGACUCUGAAAGGGUGCAAAAAUGAGCUGCAAAACGGCUCAGACUGAGGAUGUGAGAUUAGAGAGCGGGGAGAGAGAAGUGGGGGAGUCCCAACAUCCGUGUCUGAUUGCAUGAGGCCACUUAACAGAGGUGGUCUGGUUCCUUUCCUCCUCCUGGGGAGAAAAUUGCCUCUCUCCAGGGCUUGGGAUGGAGGACUGGAGCUCUCUGGUCUGUGGAGGUGCUCCUGGAGGAGACAGCACAUCUCUUUUAGAUUAUCCUUUGUGCCCCAGUUUUGAAGAGAUGGAGAGCUGGGAAAGCUUUGGAGAGGUGGAAAGGUGGAAAGCAGAAAGAGUUUUGGAGAGAUGGAAAGAUGGAAAGCAGUGCAUGUUGUCUUCUACAUCCAACCUCAUGGCCAAACCCUCAAGCAACCUCUCAACCCAUUUAAUAUCUUCCAAAAUCUCUGCUAAGAGCAAUGGGUGAGGCUCAAAUACCAGGUGGAUGCUACCAUGAGAUCAGGAAAAAAUGAUCUGUGUGGGGCACUGUGUUUUAUUGGGAAAAAUUAAUCUCUGCAGGGAAAUUUUGUGUCCAAAUCCUCCAGAUUUGAAUAGAGAGCUAUAAGAAGGAGAGGAUCUCUUGAUUAGCGUGAUGGGAGCGUGGCACGUGGGUGUAUAAAUAUGGGCAUAUUUGUGCAUAAAUACACAGAAGGAGAGAAAAAGACAGAGGAGGAGGAGGUAUUUCAGGAAGGGCCUUGUUUUGUUAUCAGAUUAAUUCCUGGGUCAGCCCUUGAAAUCGCUGCCAAAGUCUUGUAGCUUUUGUGGAGCUUGAAAAAGGUUUGGGAAUGGGUCCAAGUGAAGGAGAGCUGGAUCUGGCUUUGGAAGCAGGAGUUUACCAAGGUGUUGGGGGCAUUCAUCUCCUUGGAACGCUCUGCAAGCAAGCAGGGUCUCUGCUCCUGCUCCUGAAUCCCCAUCUUGGACCCAUCAUGACCAUUUCUGUGACUGUGCAGGGAAAGCCAAGGAGAAGUUGAAGGGAUCUGGUGGUGACACAAGUGCUGUGCUGCACUAGGUGGGGUUUUGGGGGUUAUUUUUUUUUUAAUGGGUGGAUUUUAAGUCCCUUGAGCUAUGGCAAAUUUUGGUCCCAGUGUGGUAGCUCCUAUUUGGAGCCAGGGUAGGUUUCUCAUGGAAUCAUGGAAGGGUUUGGGUUGGAAGAGACCUUAAAGCUCAUCUCAUUCCCUGGGCAGGGACACCUUCCACUAGACCAGGUUGCUCCAAGCCCUGUCCAACCUGGCCUAGAAACCUUCUCUCAAGGUCUACACCCAUGGGUGUGGUUUAUCCCUGGUGGUUAUCCCUGGUGGUUAUCCCUGGUGGUUAUCCCUGGUGGUUAUCCAUGGUGGUUAUCCAUGGUGGUUUAUCCAUGGUGGUUAUCCCUGGUGGUUUUCCAUGGUACUUAUCUGUGGUAGGUUAUCCAUGGUAUUUUUCCAUGGUACUCAUCCAUGGGAGCUGGUCAGUGUGCUGCCAGGGUAAAAAGGGCUGAGGAAAGAAGGACCCAGCCCAAACCAUCUUGUUGUGCACCCAGAACAAGGCUGUGGCUCCCUCCUUGCAGCCCUGGCAGCAUCCGACCCUCCCCACAUCCACCACAUCCCUCAGUCGCUCCUGUUGGGCUCCAGCUGCCACUGAUGCCAAAAUGGGGACAAGGGUCACCCCCAGGUCCAGCCUCUGGCCAGAGCCCUGCCCUCCCCCAGCCCAUGGCCUCAGUGUCCCUGUGGUAUUGCUGCCCAAAUUUCAUCCCCUCCCUCGCUCGGAACGGAGUGCUCCGAUCCCUCCACAUCCCGUUGGAGGGGAGAGGGACCAGCCUGCAGUGAUGGGAAUCACCCCUGGGGAGCACAGCACUGACUGACACCCAGGGACAAGAUUCCCCCAGCCCAGUUGUUGCAUGAUGAGAGAGAAACUCCUUAUCCAUGUUUUUUCCUCCAGGGGGUGGGGGGGAUGGUUUGGUUUGCCCAAGCUGCUGGACGUUGUGUAACCACACCAGGUCCACACAUGAGGGACUACGUCCCCUCCCCAGCCCUGCCUGGCUGUCCUGAGCUUGGGGCUGGUUCUUUUGGGGUUUAGGGGUGUUUUUCUUAAUUAUUAUUAUUAUUUUUUAAUACCUUCUGCUGCCUAUAAGCCUGCAAUUAUCGGUUUGCUCUCGCUCCCUCACUGCCUGAGACCACGCUCUUGUCCUCCAAUGUCAUCCCCAAAGAGCAAGGGGAGAAAAAAAAAGAAAAAAAAACACAAAAAAAAAGGGUAUUGGAUCAACCCUGCGUGUGGUGCCUAAUUUAAGCCAAUCAAUAGGAAGAGGAAACCCAAGAAGGACUCAUCCUAAGAAUGCUGGAGCUGAACCUUUUGUUUCCAUGGUUACAGGAGAAAUGGGACCAGGAACGGAGAGAGAGGCCUGUAAACUGUUAGGAAUUUCAAGUCAUUUAACCAUGCGUUUGCUAGGCAAAAAUUUAGACACCAGCUGUACCUGAAUUGCACAGUGUUUAUAGACGUUCCUGCUCUUAUUGACAGCCUGGGGGUGUCUGGGGGGGUCGGGUGGAAAGGAAUGAGGGCCCCCCCCGAGUCAAUAAGGCUGCCCGUUGUAUAUAGGUAUAUAGAUCUGUGUACAUACAUAUCCCAAACUGAGCAUUUAUUUGCUGUCUGGUUUAUCAUGAGUGUAUAUAAUUUAUUCUUCACAGAGUAUUCACGACUUUUGUAAAUACUGGCACUAAUUAAGAGGAAAUAAACAUGUAUAUUAUUGAGGA